CAUAGUCUAUAUUCUUUUUUCCACCUCUCGUGUGUUCCGGCUUACGCAUCAUAAAAAUGUGGGUUCUUAAACGCCACAACCCUAUUGGCCUUUCUGUGAGGGAUGAUAUUAUGCAAAUAUUACCAAUAUAAAAGAUUUUCAUACAAAUUAAUAUUACAAAUAUAUUGAGAGUAGAAUAAUAGAAUAUCAAUUAAGCCGUUCGGCUAGCUGUCAAGUAAACAUGAAUUCAAAGCUUAUUAAUUUAAUGAUAUUAAUUUCUAUAACUGUCAAAUUCUCACCAUUGUUGUGCAAUAUUUCUGCAAUGACAGUGUUGUAUUGUUUUAAUAUUGUUAAUAAUAAUAUUAUAAGUUCAGCGGCUGGGUCUGGGCAUUAAGUCAUCAGUCAAUGAAUUUGUGUUUAUAUUUAUGAAGUUACAUUAUUUUAUUUAUUUGCUCUGUACAUUGUUUACUGUUUUAUAUAUUUUACUAUGUAAUUCAAAUUCUAUAGAACUCAAUCAAUGAAAAGCUGUACUGUCUCAGUCUUAUCCAUUGUCUUUGUAAUAUUUUCCCAUGAAUAAUACACAAAAUUCGAGGUCACGGCACUUUUUACCGGUGUGAUGUAAUGCUGAGUUUUUAAAACUAGUUAUUCUUUGUCUUCAAUUCGCAGCAAGCAGGUUUUCUCGAAAGUUUAUAAGUUUUAUUAUAAUUUGAACUAAAAUACUCAUAAUCCUGUUACUGGUCAGCACAAACGCAAACCCAAAGGGAAGCAAAAUAAUUAGUAGUGACGGCGGGAGUUUUCGAAAUGUGUUAAAAUCUGAGCAUGCGCACUGUUAUAUUAAGUUUUAUCACGACUUUGACGAGAACGACUCUCGACCGCAGUUUAUUUACAGCUUUAGGUGUAAUCGGUUUUGGACUUUGCUAACUUGGAAGAUAACCUCACUCUAGAUUUUUCAAAUCAAAAUCAUUAUGGAGUGUAUUAAGUUCAGUUUUUGUCCUGAGUAAAAGAAGAAAUAGAUGUAAAUGAAGAUGGACACAGAGCUGGACAAAUGAAAUUAUGGAUACAUGUUUUGUGGCCUGCUGUUGCAAUUGUGCUAAAAACUACGGUUUUACGAAGACCGAUCUAGAUCGAUUUACGGAUAACAUUGAGAACUUAUUAAAUAAUAACAAUGGCAGACAGUGCUUUAGGGAUUUUAUGGAAGAAGCUAAAAUGAGGCAUGGACUUAGAACUUUACACUUUUGGGAGCGUGUCGACAAAUAUAUCUCUUCUCAAGAUACAGUGCACAGUGCGUCACACUCGGGAUGUCUCAAACGUGUGGAUAGUUUAAUCGAUGUAGCGGAAAAAAUUGAGGAAUUCGACUUUGCCAUCAUGGAAAGGCUGUGUAUCGCACGGGAAUCUGAGAACAGAGAAGAAAUUAUUACUGUGCUAAAACUGUUCAAAGUUGAAGCAGCGAAGGCUUUGAAGCGGGAAUACAAUGCUUUUAAAAGACAUUUUGUUGUGAAGAAUUAAAACAAAAGUGCUUUUCAAUUAGGAUGGAUGUGUCAUCAUACACGCGAGUGCACUAAAAUAGCUUUAAAUUAAGUACUUACCUGUUCAGAAAUAAUCUUGUGAUCUGUAUAUAAAUUAUAAAAAAAAUGUUGAGUAGGUACUUAAAUUAUUUUUAUAAAAAUACAUAGGUAUCUAAGAUUCUAAUGUAUUAAUUUCAUAUCUGAUAUACAUGCUAUGUGCAGAGUUACACAUUUCCAAAAAGGCCAUUAUAGUAGAAUAGUCACAUUUUCUACUUGAUACAAAAUAUUUCAUAUUUAAUAUUUAGCCUAAUGCUUUAGCCUAUGUACCUGUUAUUGUAAUAUGUAACUGUUUAUGAUAGAUUUUUUACACAACAAAAUAGAUACAACAAUUUUUACGGUUUACACUAUCCAUAUUUUUUUUCAUUUUUUAUUGGAUGAAUUCGUCAAUUGUCCGAAAAAUAUUGCAGAAGAAAUCUAACACAAAAUUUGUAGGUGAUAUUAUUAUAUUAGAAGUCACAAUUUAUAUUCCUGCAAUCCGUCCUAUAUUUUUGUUGAGAAUUGUUUGUAAUUUAAAUUACACGUUUUUCUUUGUUGUAAAUUGACGCUUUAGUGAGAAAUAAAAUAUUUAAUAAAUCUGA